GACAGGCAGGGAGACCCGGAAGAAGCAUAGCGGGGGGGAGGGUGCUAUUUUUUCCGACCUACAAUUGAAUGGGAAAAAUCAUGCAAUAUGUCUGGCUCAAUAUGCAACUCACUUUAUUUAUAGCUGAUUUUCCGCCACAAAGUUUCCAUUUUGCAACAGGAUCUUUCCCUUGUGCACUGAAGAUCUCUACAGCAGCUCCACCCUUUGAAGGAAAUGCCAUUUGUUUUCAUGAGUGUUUGAAAGGGCUGGAGCAGUGUGCAGGUUGUGUGUGCCAGAGACCAGCGGCAGAUGGGCCACAUCUACAACAAUCCUCACUACAUCAAGCAAACAGGACGCAAAACUGAAUCAAAGAAAACUUGCUACAUAGCUCACAACAUGGACAAAAUAACGUUCAUUGUCUCAGGGUCUGUGGGGUCGUCAGAGUCCAGGCAGGUUUCAUAUGUACUCUUCUUGGCUUCACCCUGUGGAAGCCGGGCCUUGUUGGAGCGGAGAGGUCGGGGAGAGGUUACUAGCACUUUCACCUGCCUCAAAGUCUGCUACCACCCAGAGGAUGCCCACAGACACAAUAGCUGUGAGUCCCAGGAUGAGCAGAGUGCCCCUACUUUGUUGCAGGAGUAACAUCUUCUUCCUGCUCUGCUGCAUGCUUGCAGUGGGAGGCGUGGAUCCAGGUGUCUUUUCCUAAGAACUUUACAUCUGUUACGGGGGUGAGGGCGAUCUGAUGUGGUCCGUUCCACCUGGGUUUUAAAGGUUCUUUACCUCUGUGGUGCCUCCUGCCCAUUACCCAACUUCCAGACUGGAGAUCGCAAUGUGGACGGUCAUCUGGGAGGGUCUGGGCAUCAGAGACCUGUGAGCGAACAGCUCGGAAACAGUUAGUCAGAGAGCUAAACAGUACUUCAUCAUAGUGUCAUCCAACAGAUGCAGAUCUGGGAUAGCACAUGGAGGGGAUGCUGGGGUUCUCAUAGGCCUUGCCAAAUCAAUUUGCAUAUUUUACUAAUGGGCCCCAGGGAACUGGUAGUCAAGACUAAGAAGUGGGUACUCGUUUUCCUGCAUUGUGUUCUUGGCAAAUCGGUGCAUGUAGUACGUUUUCUGCAUGCACUGACCGUUCACUUUUUGGACACAUGACUCACACCGUGAUACAUGCUUCCAAGGUAACCCAACAGUGUCGGUGGCAAAUCGUAAAACCCUCCCCAUAUGUAGCCAACAGAGUAUGAAAUUGAUAUAAUUGGUUACAGUAAUCAACCACUUAUUAGAGUAGCUUGUUAUUGGCUGGAGUACACAACAGUGCUUUCUCUCUCAGCCCUGGGGAGGAAACCCUCCCUAACCAGGGAGCUCAAUGGAUUCUUACCAACAUUUAAUUAGUUUCAGAAACCACCUACAGAAUGACAUUUCUAUGAGGGCAUAGGAAUGUGUAGGAAUAGCUUUGCUUUACUGCCCACCUACAUUUCUUCAGAAGGAAAAAAAUAAAAAUAAACUAAUUACAACCCUU